rnacentral:rRNA from 1 species
AAAACCUAAACUGCNNAGUCGACGAGAGACCUUCGGGUCUCUAGUGGCGAACGGGUGAGUAACACGUAGGGAACCCGCCCGCGCACCGGGAAUACGCUCUGGAAACGGAGAACAAAUCCCGAUGUACAGGAAGGAGGCAUCUUCUCUCUGUGAAACAUCCUUUCGGGGAUGGGGCGCGGAUGGACCUGCGGUGCAUUAGUUGGUUGGCGGGGUAAAGGCCCACCAAGACGAUGAUGCAUAGCCGAGUUGAGAGACUGAUCGGCCACAUUGGGACUGAGACACGGCCCAAACUCCUACGGGAGGCAGCAGUAGGGAAUCUUCCACAAUGGACGAAAGUCUGAUGGAGCAACGCCGCGUGAGUGAAGAAGGGUUUCGGCUCGUAAAGCUCUGUUGGUAGUGAAGAAAGAUAGAGGUAGUAACUGGCCUUUAUUUGACGGUAAUUACUUAGAAAGUCACGGCUAACUACGUGCCAGCAGCCGCGGUAAUACGUAGGUGGCAAGCGUUGUCCGGAUUUAUUGGGCGUAAAGCGAGUGCAGGCGGUUCAAUAAGUCUGAUGUGAAAGCCUUCGGCUCAACCGGAGAAUUGCAUCAGAAACUGUUGAACUUGAGUGCAGAAGAGGAGAGUGGAACUCCAUGUGUAGCGGUGGAAUGCGUACAUAAAUGGAAGACACCAGUGUCGAAGGCGGCUCUCUGGUUUGUAUUGACGCUGAGGUUCGAAGGCUUGGAUAGCGCACCCGAAUACAUACCCCGG